rnacentral:rRNA from 1 species
UACGGAGGUGGCAAGCGUUGCUCGGAAUUACUGGGCGUAAAGGGCGCGUAGGCGGCCACCUAAGUCAGACGUGAAAUCCCUCGGCUCAACCGGGGAACUGCGUCUGAUACUGGGCGGCUUGAAUUCGGGAGAGGAAUGCGGAAUUCCAGGUGUAGCGGUGAAAUGCGUAGACAUCUGGAGGAACACCGGUGGCGAAGGCGGCAUUCUGGACCGACAUUGACGCUGAGGCGCGAAAGCCAGGGGAGCAAACGGG